CUUGGAAUUCAUUUUCUUUCCAUGUAAUUUUCCUACUUGUAAUCAAACGCACCCUUAGAAAAAUCUGACAUGGAAUUUGUUUGGGAACUUUUUAGUCACAAAUCUAUUGUGAACAUUUUAAAAAAAUUGGAAACAUUGUUAUAAAUUUUGAAUUUACAAAUGGUUGUCGCUAAUCUAUUGCUAUACUUCGUACUUAUUUAAACAAAAUUAUUUGGCCUUUUGUUGCUAUUUCACAUACAUUGUUGAAAUCUUUAGUAAUUUUAAAAUCUUUUACACGCCGGCCCCAAUUUGAAUAUGUUUCUUGGACAGCUUCCCAAACUUCCUUAACAUGUAACUGUGUCCUGUUUCCGACUCCAUCGAGUUAGAUCAACCAUGCGAUUAACAUAAAAUUCUCAGCAUCCCAUGUGUUGUAACUGGAUUCUCUCUCCUUCCAUUGGAGUUUUCACAGAUGACAGAACCAUUAAGAUAAUACUCCUCAAAAAUAUUUUUACAGCUUGAGACCAUUAUAAAAAAUUGUGGCCAUUCAAUCGAUAAGUAGUAAUUUGAAGAGUAUUGAUAGAAGCAUAAUUUUCUUCUUUGCUGGUAGUUGCCGUAACGACAAGACUUAUCUUUAUUGUCCUCCAAGUCGAACGGCGUUUUAACCGAAAGAACUUCUUGUGCAAUUCAUGAUUUCAAUGUCACCGGAAAGAAGAGACUGCAUCAUACUGCAAUUCCCCAAGUUCAGGAUUUUAAUGUCGAUUGCCUUUUCCAUGGAACAAUGCCUCUGCUAAAGAAAGGAAGAAAGAUCAAAACGGGCAAUCCAAAAAAAACAUGUCAUUUAAAAAUUAGAUAAACGACCCAAAACGUGCAAUCCAAAAACAUCAUGUUAUUUUUAAAUAACUUAGCGAGACAGUUAUUUAAAAAUUAGAUAAAGGACCCAAAAUGCCCCAAAAUCUUAUAACUCAACAUAUUAAUAUAAUCAAAUCACUACUGGAGGGGCUUGAGAGUAAUUAUAACAUGUGAUGUGCAGUGAGAGGUAUUAUCCCCAAUUCUUUGGAAUAAAUCCAUACAUAAAAUAUUAUAAAUCCAUAUAUAUAGUUAUUUAAAAAUUAAAUAAAGGAAAGCAACAACCAUAUUUAGAGGUCCUCAUAAGUAUUGGACUGGAAACCAGGAAGCACAAUUCAAUUCAUUUUACCAACCAAAUUUAGUGUUCUCGUGAAGUAUUGAAUUCAAUGGACCCACCAAUUCAGAGAAUUUAUUCUUAUUUUAGCCCCUUUCUUUUGUCCUUUGUCCUUACCCACGAGAAACACUUUCUCACGGUUCAAGGAAAAACUUUGUAUCCUUUACUUUUAUCUAUAUUUUCCUUUUCACCACAAGAAUAUUCUCUAUUGACCAAAAGUAGCAACCUUUAUUGACCAAGAAUAGUUCAGUAUCAUUUGCUAAUUUUGAUUGCAAAAAUCCAAGUUCAGGAUUUUAAUGUCACCGAAAAGAAGAGACUGCAAUUCAAAAACAACUCAGAGACACAUAGUUUUUUAAAAUUAAAUAAAGGAAACAUGAAGCAAGAUAUAGAAGAAAAAAUCGUACUACCUCAUCNAUAAUUUU
rnacentral:lncRNA from 1 species